CAUUGCUCAGGCAUGUUGCUCAUAGCCUGCUUUGUCAUGCACUGCUCAGAGCUCAACCAGUCCCGGUUGUGGCCAAGCACUGAUGACACCAGAGCUGGGCUAUGCCACUAAGCCAGUGAGAUACAGCAGGAGGAACCCCAGCAGGUGAAAAAGGCACUUGAGUCAGCAUGACGUUGAGUGCUGGUUGGGCAACGUGCCGGGAGGGAGAGGAGUCAGCAUCACUUCUGAUGACACACGAUACUCCCAGCAACAGUGGACCCCAAUGACAAAGUGAGCCUCUUGAAACGAGACCGGUGGUGCCAUUGAUUGUUUAAAGCAUCAAAAAAUGUACAAGAAACAAGGUGAUGAUCAACACACAGAAAUGCUGAAUCACGAGAACUUCAGUUCUGAGCGAGUAGAGAAUUCAGUACAAACCACAGCUAUUACAACACCUGGCUGGAACCACAGUUUAAUAACUGACAUCCAGGCUGAGCACCACUAACACGUUAUUCCUCCAGAUUACUGCAGCAACUGGGACAGACAGAUACCAGCAAAUGCAUUUCCCAGUGGUUUAACAGAAGCGAUGCUUUGCUGGUCAUGUUUAGGCCAACAAACAGAUAAAAUAAUGAACAGUCAAAGAAUUGCAUUUUUGAAGGCUUGUAAGUUUGGUAGGUGAUACUCAGGGAAACGGGUCUCCAUUCUCUUUGAGGAAUUAUCUUACAGCCUUCAUUGCAGAAAUGAUACAAAUGGCAGCAGCUCAGGAGGAAGUUGAGCCUUCCUUAAAGAAACUUGCACAGAACUUUCAUGCUUUUCAUGUGGGAAAUGACAUCGCUGAACUUCAGAUGAAGAAAUGCGGCAUCUCAUCGACCAGAGCCAAAGAUGCAGUGAGUGUACAAGGAUACCGCAGGGAUGUUUCUUCAGCAAAGCUCUGUGAAAUCCAGAGCAGUUGUUCUGCAUGCUAAUAUUUGUCUAUAAUAGCUUCAAAAUAACAACCUUAAGCACUUAACAGCAUUCUAUUAACAAUGAAUAACUAAUGCAUCUUUUGUCUUUAAAGAACAUGAUUUGAAGUUUCACAGCGAGUAUGAGCUAAAGCAGGUAAACCAGAAAGGCUGAAAAGACACAAAGGAGACCCUUACAACACAUAGUAUUUGUAACUGAGGAAUAAAUAGAGCUGUUGAGAGCUUAAAUUUCCUCAGAAAGAGGAAACAGACCUUACCUGGUACAAUAAACCAGUCCAUGAAAUUUAUGAGGUUUGCAUAGCACAGCACAGCGACUAUCAGGUAAUCUCUCUUUGCUGGACUGUUCCUUGAUGCUGGUACAUGUGGAUCUCGUCUCACACAUGCUGCAGUAGCUCCACAAUUCUGCUCCUCGGGAGGAGGAAAGUCAGUGUUCUCAUGUGCACUUGUGCUCUGCAUACUUCCCAGUGCAAAAAGUCACCGUGUUUGAAACACAAUGAAAGUCACUGUAUGCUAUGAAGUGUUUCCACAGCACACCCAGCUGCAAGGCAGUGCUGUGCUCAGGCUAUGAGGAACUUCAGCCACUACAGUCAUUUCCGGCGACAAAGCCCAGCCACUAAAAACUGAAGUGCAAUGUUCCAGGGAGAACAUGAUAAAAAUACAAAGUUUUAGUCCUGUGCUUUUGCUGAGCAAAAGUACCGAAGUGCUUCACAGAAUCACAGAAUGACCCGGGUUGGAAGGGACCUCAAGGAUCAUGUAGUUCCAACCCCCUGCCUAGCAGGACCACCAUACAUACAUAUUUACUAGAUCAGGUUGCACAGGGCCCCGUCCAACCUGGUCUUGAACACCUCCAAGGAUUUAGCUAUAGACUGCUGGUAUCUUCCCCACUCCUACGAGGGACUCAAGUUGCAUCUGAAAACCAUUCGGUGUGACAGCUUGCUGCAUCAGGAAGCGCUUGUUGCCCUUUACUCAAUACUAUUCCUGCAAUUCUUUUUCUUCUACAGAGCACAGAACCUCGGGUAUCUGUAUAACGCACACAUGGCGCUGCUUUGUUGGUGUUAUUAGGGCAGUGACGCCGCAGGGUGGCGCCCGAGUAGCGGCACCGGGCCGGGAUCCUGCGGGCACAGAGAUGGAGCAAAUCUUGUGUCCUGGAACAGAAGAUUCUUGUGGGAGAUUCUGUUAAUUACUGCAAAAGAAUGGCAGUGAAAUCUGCAUGGAUUGUGAGGAAAAGACCAAAGCGAUGGGAUUAAACAGCUGUUUAACCUGUUCUGACCUUUCUUCCACAGUGAAACAUUAAUUUGUAGAUAGAGCCAUGAGGUGAUCAUUGCUGUCUUUGCUUUUAUACACCAGAGGCUGUGAUCUUGGUUUUGGUGAGUACAGGGACUCUGUUGCUGUGCAUAACUGCAGGCACUGGGAUAUUCUGCCAGCAACAGAAGAGAACUUGUCAUUUCGAGGCUCUUAUUCACACCAAACCCAGGAUGCUGUCAUUUGUGACAGCUAUUCAGCAAAUAUGUGGAAAUACUGAAGCUUAUGGAGUGACUUAGAUAGAAAAUAGGGAUUCGAAUGUACUCAUUGCCAGUGAUGGUUGCCCACCUUAGGCAGAGAAGCAGUGCAGAAAGUGGCCAUACUCACUGUGCAUCUUUACUUCCAUUUUUAUCAGCAAUAAACCAUGCAAAUGAAGGUUUCCUACUUGCCAUUUAAAAUCAUGAAUGAAUUGUUUAAAUAUUUAUGUUAGACCUACAGUAGGAGAAUCAAACGUGAGAACCGUGUUUGAAGCUCAGACUUCAAAUAUACCAAGAAAUGCCCAUUUUCAGACACACGCCUUUGUUUUCUUCACAUGAGAACUGGGAUGUUUGUGUUCUCGCAGUCACAUCUCAGAAGAGGGAAAUCAAUUCCGACCUGCCUCGUAUUUCACAUCCUUGUAUUCGUUCCAAGGAUUGAGAACUGACGCAGCAGCGGAUCCCAUGACUGCUUUCCAUCAGCUCUAUUAAACUGCCUGUCAAUUAGGUCAGGCUUUGCAGGCAGCAAAGCAAAAAAUGUCUCAGACUCAGUUCCUUAGAAAUACAGGUUAGAAAAACACACUUUUUUUCUAUGGAGUUUAACCCUUCCCAUAACAAUUGUGACUCUCACUUUAACAGAAUAAACCUGCACAAAGUUUA